rnacentral:rRNA from 1 species
CCUACGGGAGGCAGCAGUGGGGGAUAUUGCACAAUGGGGGAAACCCUGAUGCAGCGACGCCGCGUGUGGGAAGACGGUCCUCUGGAUUGUAAACCACUGUCCCCAGGGACGAAGAUGACGGUACCUGGGGAGGAAGCUCCGGCUAACUACGUGCCAGCAGCCGCGGUAAUACGUAGGGAGCGAGCGUUGUCCGGAAUUACUGGGUGAAAAGGGAGCGUAGGCGGGACUGCAAGUUGGGUGUCAAAUCUACCGGCUCAACCGGUAGCCGCACUCAAAACUGCAGUUCUUGAGUGAAGUAGAGGCAGGCGGAAUUCCUAGUGUAGCGGUGAAAUGCGUAGAUAUUAGGAGGAACACCAGUGGCGAAGGCGGCCUGCUGGGCUUUUACUGACGCUGAGGCUCGAAAGCGUGGGGAGCAAACAGGAUUAGAUACCCCAGUAGUC